rnacentral:rRNA from 1 species
GACGAACGCUGGCGGCGUGCUUAACACAUGCAAGUCGAGCGAUGAAGCGCCUUCGGGUGUGAAUUAGCGGCGAACGGGUGAGGAACACGUGAGAAAUCUGCCUUCAACACUGGGAUAACUCCGGGAAACCGGGGCUAAUACCGGAUAUGAAACCUGCGGGCAUCCGCGGGUUUGGAAAGUUUUUCGGUUGAAGAUGAUCUCGCGGCCUAUCAGCUUGUUGGUGAGGUAAUGGCUCACCAAGGCGACGACGGGUAGCCGGCCUGAGAGGGCGACCGGCCACACUGGGACUGAGACACGGCCCAGACUCCUACGGGAGGCAGCAGUGGGGAAUAUUGGGGCAAUGGAGGAAACUCUGACCCCAGCGACGCCGCGUGCGGGAUGAAGGCCUUCGGGUUGUAAACUGCUUUUGUACGGAACGAAAAGACUCUGGUUAAUACCUGGGGUCCAUGACGGUACCGUAAGAAUAAGCACCGGCUAACUACGUGCCAGCA